AUUUGAAUUAAUUAUACUAAAAGUUGUGAAAAUAGAAACUCUUUUGCACCUGAUGCCCGACACAAAGCCUUGAGGAAGGAGCAGCAGAAUCCUUGUAGUUUUAUCUGCCUUUUGUCUGCGUAUGUGAAAUUAAGUGUAGACACACAACUCAGCUGAGGAUGCCAAAGGAAUUACUCAUCUCCGGGCGAGGACAGUGCGUUUCGCUGCUUUAAGGCGUUGGUCGUUCGCUAAGAAAAUGGUUUACCACUUUAAAUGAAUGGCAGGGGAUUGCGGUCGAGUCACAAUGGCAAUGGGAUUAAAUGCGAAAUAAAAUCGGAGACAGCGGCCAGAGGUCUCGACUAUCCGGGCUUAAAGAGGGAAACCCGAUGCCGAACACCCGGACACCGGACAGCGGACACCGGACAGCGGACACCGGAUUCCGGACUCCGGCAGUCUGGACUCCGGAUUGUGGAGCACAACAACGGGCACAAGUUAUCCGGACAAUGGACACCAUGCCGCUGACAGGCGUCUCACAAAAAGAUGAGGGCAUCCGAUGACGAGCUGAUAUGGGAUGAGAUGGGAGGCGGGAUCCCGCUGUUGCGGCUAAUGCGGCUGUUUUUGCUGCUGUUGCUGUUGCUGCUGCUGCUGCUGCUGUUCAUGAUGAUGAUGCGGCCUGCGAGUGGAGCUAUCCACCGCAUUGAUGUUGCUGUUGGGUUUUAUGGCCCCCGGGCAAAUGGCGCCUCAAAUGGAAAACAUGAAACCGAAUUAACAGCCAAACAGCCCAAGAAGACGACUGCGGCGGAAUGGUGAACGACUUCCGGAAACGUAUGCCGAAGUGGCCCGCUGCUCCUCCUCCUCCUUUCGGCAACCCGGGUAAUUAUCGCCUGACCGCCUGCCCGACUCCAAUCUUCCAUCGGCCUCCAUCUGCCUCCAAUCUUCCAGCUGCCUCCAUCUUCCUCCAAUCUCCCAUCUCCUACAGCGAGCACCCGGAAAAUGCCCCGUCAUGUGGUAGGCUUGGGCCCCGGGUUCCAACGAGUCCAUCGCCUCCUCUGAUGUCAUUGCGUGGCUUGAUGGAUUUGUGUAAUUUCUUUAUGGCAACCACACCCCCCCAACUAGCGCCCGAUUCGGGUCCACCCUAGAUGGCUGGGGGGCCACCCCUUUAUCCCAUCAUAAAUUGAAGCUGGAUUUAAUUACAGCCUUUCGGCCACGCCCAAGUUUCUCACACGCCCUUUGCGGCGACAGCUGCGUUUUUGCAAUGCGAAUUUGAAUUUGAAUUCGAAAGCUCGGGACAGUGGGACAAUUGGCAGUGAUGUCAAGCACAAAUUGCCAAAUGAUAGCUUAGCGAAAGGAAUGCAUAACAAAAUGUUACAACACAAAUAAUUACAAUUGAAUGGAAGAUUACUUAUUUGAGAAGUGCGGAAUUUAAGGGAAAAUAUCUAACAAGUGCUGAAUGUGCUGCGAUUUCAAAAUGAUUGCAACCAAAGCACUUGUGUGCCACCUCAGCACUUCCUCCGCCCCUUUUUUACAAAGGAGAAGGGGCGUGGUGGCAGAAGGAAUGCAUGUCAUGACCCAACACCAGCCGCAAAAUGUAAUUUCUAAUUCCGGGCAAAAAACAGUCCCAUUUCUCGUUUGAUUCUGGAAAAUGCACAGUAAACAAAUACCCAACAUGU